rnacentral:rRNA from 1 species
CCUACGGGAGGCUGCAGUGAGGAAUAUUGGUCAAUGGCCGGAAGUCUGAACCAGCCAUGCCGCGUGAAGGUCAGUGCCCUAUGGGCGUUAAACUUCUUUUGUGCGGGAGCAAUAAUGGUCACGUGUGGCCCGACUAGAGUACCGUACGAAUAAGCAUCGGCUAACUCCGUGCCAGCAGCCGCGGUCAUACGGGGGAUGCAAGCGUUAUCCGGAUUUAUUGGGUUUAAAGGGUGCGUAGGCUGUGAGGUAAGUCAGCGGUGAAAUGCCCCCGCUCAACGGGGUGAAGUGCCAUUGAUACUGCGGGGCUGGAAUGCGGAUGCGGUGGGAGGAAUGUGUGGUGUAGCGGUGAAAUGCAUAGAUAUCACACAGAACACCGAUUGCGAAGGCAUCUCACGAAGCCGCGAUUGACGCUGAUGCACGAAAGCGUGGGUAUCAAACAGGAUUAGAUACCCCUGUAGUC